CAGAGCAUAGCUAAAAACAGAAUAGCAUCUCCCUUACACCGAGAAGGUAUCCGUGCAAAUCGGAUUGCCCUGA
rnacentral:tRNA from 1 species